UGGGAUUUGAACUCAGGACCAUUAGAAGAACAGUCGGGUGCUCUUACCCGCUGAGCCAUCUCUCCAGCCCCUGGCUCAAAUUCUUUACCCUGUUGCUAUUGAUGUAUGAAGGUUGUGCAGAACUGGCCCGACCUCUCACCUGCUCUUUCUGGAAGAGCUGGCCCUGAAGAGAGCCUCAGAGCUGACCCCAACCCUGCACAACUGCAGUACUAUGAACAGCAGGUCCCACUAUCACUCAGGGAGCACAGUAGAGCUGGCCCUGGUUGCAGAAGUUGCAGAUGAGCCAGCGCCACUGGUGUGAGCAUGGGAGGGCUGGCCCUGCCACCUGUCUCCUGGGAAGUGGCACGGAUGAGGGAGAAGGGAGAGAUGCUCUCCCCCUAACCCCCCUUGCCACCUACCACAGGCGAAGAGCUGGUCCCAAGGCUGUCAGAGUGGGAGAACUAGACCUGCCCCUCACCUGCUGCAGCACAGUAGAGCUGGCAGAAACAUGCGUGAGCUGGCACUGCGGGCAUGAGCGUGGGAGAGCUGGUCCCAGCAACUUGUCUGCUGUUUGAGGCAGAGAUGAUGAUGAUGGCAGGGCCUCAUCAUGGCCCUGAUGGAGGAGAGAUGCCCCCUUCUCCCAUCCCUCCUCGUCCCUAGUCACCUAUGACAGGUAGGAAAACUGGACCUGUCCCUCACCAGGAACAGCACUCAGGAGAGUAGGCCUACAACUUGUCUGGGCAGCACAGUAGCCAUGGUCCUGAUGGCAUGAGCACCAGCGGUGAGCCACCCGGUAGGCAUGAGACCAUGAGAACCUGAGAGCUGGCUGUGGCAUUGGACAACCUAGCCAGGCAGCGCUGGAGACCCUGCCCUGGUAGUGUGGGAGCAGAAAAGCUGGCAGGCUGACCAGCCCGGACACCUCUCAGGCCCAGAUGCAGGGCUUUGAGUUGGCCCACCCCAACAUCUACCCCAUUGAUGAACAGCUGGAGGGCAUGGGCCAGUCCUACAGAUCUAAAACUACAGGAUCUCCAUAACACCGGCAACGACAGGAUAUCCAGGAGGAAUCUCAGUGAAGUCCCAGGAAUGAUAGAGUAGCAGAAGUCAGCCUCUAAGGUUCCUCCCAGGAAGUCUCAGGAGAUGUGGACACAGCUGCAGGAUACUGCCUGGACUGUGAUGUGAUCACCACUGAAACACGCAGUGGACAGCACUCGAUACUCUGAGUCACGUGACCUAGCUAAAACCAAGCAUCUUGUCAAGUCCAGGUGCUUACUACACCCAGGACAGCUCCAGAGAAGCAACCUUCAUAUGCUCCAAUCUCCUCUCAUAGACACACAUUCCUACUGGACCUGUCCCUUCUGACCUAUCCUCAGAUGGCUCCACAGACCCUGGACAGCAAAGAGGCAGCCAACUCUCCUAAGACUGGAUAAACAUCCCCCAUAACUGAAAGAUCCUGACAGAAUGCAAAAGGUCACAGAAGCCCUGAAAUUGGCAAAAUAGAUUUCAUGGCUAGCAGAACUAGCUUCACUGAUUUAGAAAAAUAGAGGUGCACAAUGCUCUGGCCGCUCCUUGAACCCGUGUGUCUGCCAAUGUUCUGGCCGCUCCUUGAACCCGUGUGUCUGCCAAUGUUCUGACCGUUCCUUGAACCCAGGUGUGUGCCUACUGCUGCACCUCACUGCCAGGUGUUUGUGAUAUUGGUUGCUGGGACAGAGUCGGAAAAUCUCCCCAGCAACCACAGCCCGGCCAAUCCUGAAUUGCUGCACCUGCUCCAGACUCUUUCCUUGUACCCCUCCCAUACCCAUUUCUUGAGAAUAGACAUUGUUUAGAUCUGGAAAUCCCCUACUCCCCCCUUCUCCUUUCCCCCCUGAGGACCUAUACUGGAACCCCUUUCCCCUCGGGGUUGACUCCUCCUCUACCCCUGUGUGGGAUAUGAGUCGUCCCCAGAGCUCUGGCUUUCCCGAAUAAAGCCUCAUGUGGUUUG